AGCUAAAUGUUUGGAAUUUUUUGGUAGCUAUGAUGACCAGACAUUCUGCAUUGCAAUAACAAUAGAUAUGUAUUUAUUGAGUACUUAUGUAAUAGGAGUGGAGCAAGCAUGCAGCCGUUAGUCUGUAAUUCUUAUCAGGAGACCUUGAGCGUGGCCAACAGUCAGUGUCCCAGUGGUCCUUGUGGCAGAGAGUGCAGAUUAAGGCCUUCUCCCUGGGGCCCUCUAGGCCCCCCAGCCUCCGGGCCAGUGGAUGAGCUGGGCAGCCUGGGGACAGGCUGAGGGCUGGAUCCUGAAGAGCUCCAGAGUCCUCACCGUAGCUGGGCACAGGCCUGGAAGCAGCAGCGAACCUUUUCCGCAAACCCACAGUCCAUGGAGUCCUCAGCAACUGGAGUGUACGGACAUGGCCUUUAAGCUGCUUCUCCUUGAAGACAACAACAUACCAGCCCCAACCUCACAGAUGGUGUUAGUCAUCCUGAUAAUGCACCUCAGUUAAUAUUCAAGUCGGGAUCCAGCUACACUUACUUGCUUUGUGCAACAGGUACUUGAACAACAAGCUGUAGAUACAUUGACGUUUGCUAAAUCAAAUUAGUUUUUUAAUGUACUGGAGUGGCUUGCUAUUUGAAGGUAAUUGAUGUUAAAACCCUAAAAUAAAAAAAAUGGUUUGCAAAGAAAAUGUUCA
rnacentral:lncRNA from 1 species